rnacentral:rRNA from 1 species
AUUGAACGCUGGCGGCAGGCCUAACACAUGCAAGUCGAACGAGUGGCGGACGGGUGAGUAAUGUCUGGGAAACUGCCCGAUGGAGGGGGAUAACUACUGGAAACGGUAGCUAAUACCGCAUACCAUCGGAUGUGCCCAGAUGGGAUUAGCUAGUAGGUGGGGUAAUGGCUCACCUAGGCGACGAUCCCUAGCUGGUCUGAGAGGAUGACCAGCCACACUGUAACUGGGCCACGGUCCAGACGCCUACGGGAGGCAGCAGUGGGGAAUAUUGCACAAUGGGCGAAAGCCUGAUGCAGCCAUGCCGCGUGUAUGAAGAAGGCCUUCGGGUUGUAAAGUCCUUUCAGCGAGGAGGCGGUACUCGCAGAAGAAGCACCGGCUAACUCCGUGCCAGCAGCCGCGGUAAUAC